rnacentral:lncRNA from 10 species
UCUGCCUGCAGCUAGACCAGGAAGAAAGGAGACUGAGCAGAGGAAAUGAAAGAGUAAAGGAGAGGAGAGAGUGGGUAGGACACAAAGCUGAGGUGACUGAAGCAGCAGGAAGUAGGCAGGGCAUGAAGAAUUGGGAUUCAAAGCCCUUGAAUUUAGUUCCCAACUUCACUUAUGGGGCAAUGCUCCAAGUCACUCAGUCACCCUGAACUUCAGCUGGAGAAGGGGAACAGGAAUAAUGCCUAUCUUCCAGGAGUGUUCUGCACAAAACUGAAGGCACAGAUGAAAAAGCACUCUGCAAAUUAAAAGAGAAGGAUGGAUAGAGAAAAGCAUCAUUACAAAAGUGAAAUGUGUGAAUUUUAUUCUGGCUUUGAACAUUGAGUAGACGAAGAAGACAAUUCCAGACGGAGGAAACUCCACAAGAAAUAUCAUGGAAAUUUGAAAGAACACAGUGGGCUUGGGAAGAGAGAUCUCAGUGGUGGAAGCACCAUCAUCCCAAGGAGACUUAGGGUGCUUCCAAGACCAAGAUAACCAGGCAAUCAUAGUAGAUGCAUCAAUGCACCCUUGCCCAAGGGCCUAGACAAGAGGUAUUGUUUAGCUUCGCAUGAAUUUUAUCACCUUGCCUAGAACCAGCCACCAUCUGCCAGGGCUCCUGACUUUUUCUGAAAUGAAUAGACACUAAAGCCUGCUGGGGAAUUUCAUGGAAAUCAAGAUGACUCAACCCAGAGUCCAUUUCAAGGCUAGGAUGCUAGAGGACGCCAACAAAGGAGUAGGGAAGUGAAACGGAUCAGCUCACAUCCAAGCCCUUGCAUGAUCAAUCCUGCAGUAGGAGUGCUGCUCAGUUGGGACUCAUGAGAGCCCGGAAGAGGAAAAAGCAGCUCUAAGCAUAGCAAAGAAGCUGUUAUGGAAAAGACCCAAAUGUUAAAAUGGUGGACAUAGUAAAGUGAUUGGUUCUGCUUAGGGGAAUCUAGAUCCCCACAUUUUGACCUCCACUGGAGUCUCAGAAGAACAAGUGCCAGGGGGGCUUGCCACAGAGGCCAAGGCAGUGAAUGUCAGGCACAUCACAGUCCCCAAGAUGGGGAGAAGACUGAGAUGCAGGGUAACAACUGCAAUCCAUUCAUGGGAGCCAUGUUUAUCUUAAAUCAUUGACAGUGAGAUAAGGAUCAUGUCAGCCUUCAUACCUUUGAUGAUGAUCCCAGGCUGCAACAGUGACACAUAGAACUGGAUUCAGUAACUAACUACAGAUUCCAUCAACCAGGACUAGUAAAGUGAAAGGCAGAAAUUGGGAGGAGGGGUUUCUUUCUUGCUUAUAAAACUUUAUUUGGUUGUGUUGAGUAUGUGCAUGUAUGUAUGAAAUCCCAUAAAGCAGUCUUCUUAGGAACAAGCCAACAUGCCACAAUGUAGGAGAUCUUUGGAGCACUGGCCUAAAUGGCAGAGAGCUCAAGGGACUCUGCUUUGUACAAGGCAUGAUUUGUACCACCACCACUAUCCCUGUUUCAGAGCACUGUUGAAUUGUUCCAAACCUGGAUUUCUAUGUCAGCUCCCUGUCUAUAGUACUUGACUGAUAAAUGCUAGUUUCUGAAAUCUGCUUUGGUUCUAUAAUUUAUUAGACAGCUUUUUCUUCCCAUUUUAUUACUUGUUUUUACUGUCAUUGGUAUAUUAUCUCUUACAGUGAAAACAUUCAUAGGCUGAUUGAAGAGAAGAUCUGAAAUUAUUAGGCAGCAAGCAUACAAAACCCUUGCUUUAUAAAGAUAAUAUCUUAAAGGCCUAAUGUCUAUGGUUCAAAGCAGCCUGGAGAUGUUGGCUAAAUCUUCCAUCAUAGAGUCCUCAUGGGAUCUGGAAGCUCUGAUUUAUCUUCCUUCAGGCCCUAUAAGUUAGCUUUCCACAUCUGUAGGUUCCACAAUCAACCUUGGAUCAAAAACAUUUGAAA